GCAGUAGCCGCGGGAAUACGGAGGGUGCAAGCGUUAAUCGGAAUUACUGGGCGUAAAGCGCACGCAGGCGGUCUGACAAGUCAGAUGUGAAAUCCCCGGGCUUAACCUGGGAACUGCAUUUGAAACUGUCAGGCUGGAGUCUUGUAGAGGGGGGUGGAAUUCCAGGUGUAGCGGUGAAAUGCGUAGAGAUCUGGAGGAAUACCGGUGGCGAAGGCGGCCCCCUGGACAAAGACUGACGCUCAGGUGCGAAAGCGUGGGGAGCAAACAGGAUUAGAUACCCCUGUAGUCCCUGUCUCUUAUAC
rnacentral:rRNA from 1 species